rnacentral:rRNA from 1 species
UACGUAGGGGGCGAGCGUUGUCCGGAGUUACUGGGCGUAAAGCGCUUGUAGGCGGUCCACCAAGUUUGGGGUGACAGUUGCCGACUUAAUCGGCAAAGUGCCUCAAAGACUGGCGGACUUGAGGGCCACAGAGGGACAUGGAACUCCAGGUGUAGUGGUGAAAUGCGUAGAUAUCUGGAAGAACACCAAAGGCGAAGGCAGUGUCCUGGGUGGUCGCUGACGCUGAGAGGCGAAAGCCAGGGGAGCAAACAGG